ACAUGUCGUUGCUCCCGCAGCAAGAAGGAGGAAGCGGAUAAAUGCAAACAUGUCUUAUUCGGGUUAAUAUGGUAGCGGGGUCAUUAAAACAUGUUACUUCUGUUCUUUUAACAUUGGUUAACCGUAAGUUAAAAUAAACAUUUGGCUAAGCUAUCAUUCAUUCAGAACCGUUAUCCAAAGUAUGCUAUCUGACUGCUGAUAUCGACGGUUGAAAUCUGCAUUCAACUGUCGAAUGCAGACUCUGAAAAUAGCUGUCGUAUUUUAGCUAGUUAGGCCAAUGGUACGUUAAUUUCGACUGUUCAGACCAAUAAAAAUUCAACAAAUAGUCUUCGUUUCUCUUGGUUCACCCUGGCGUUUCCUUGUUACGAUGGCAUUUAUCUUCCAAAGCAAGAAAAUCAGUUUUUGCAUCAUGUUUUGGAUGAUCUGGAAACAUACCAACAGAAAAGAAACCUUAAACACGUGCUUCUGUUCCCGCCAUUACCCAGCAGACUGCGAUACUUGAUUCACAGGACAA